rnacentral:misc_RNA from 1 species
GUGAAUCAUCGAAUCUUUGAACGCACCUUGCGCUCCUUGGUAUUCCGAGGAGCAUGCCUGUUUGAGUGUCAUUAAAUUCUCAACUAUACAAGUUUUUUUAACCUGUAUAGCUUGGAUCUUGGGAUUUGCGGGCUUUUACAAGUCAGCUAUCCUUAAAUGCAUUAGCAGAGCUUUUGCCGCUUACCUUUGGUGUGAUAAUUAUCUACGCCAUUGAGUUACGACAUAUUGGAGCUUAGCUUCUAAUCGUCUGCAAGGACAAUACUUGACAAUCUGACCUCAAAUCAGGUAGGAUUACCCGCU